CACAGCUACAGAGAGAGGGAAGAAACGUGUUCCACGUUUAAAGGGAUUCUUUGGUGAGGUCAUAGAACGUGUACCACGUUUAAAGGGAUUCUUUGGUGAGGUCAUAGAACGUGUACCACGUUUAAAUGGAUUCUUUGGUGAGGUCAUAGAACGUGUUCCACAUUUAAAGGGAUUCUUUGGUGAGGUCAUAGAACGUGUACCACGUUUAAAGGGAUUCUUUGGUGAGGUCAUAGAACGUGUUCCACGUUUAAAGGGAUUCUUUGGUGAGGUCAUAGAACGUGUACCACGUUUAAAGGGAUUCUUUGGUGAGGUCAUAGAACGUGUACCACGUUUAAAGGGAUUCUUUGGUGAGGUCAUAGAACGUGUUCCACGUUCAAAGGGAUUCUUUAACCUGUUCCACGUUCAAAGGAUACAUCAGGAUUUUGGUAAUGAGGUCAUUUAUCUACUUCCCCAGAAAUCAGAUGAACUCGUGGAUACUAGUUUUAUUUCUCAGUGUCCAGUAUGAAGGAUGUUGAUAACUAUC